GAGGAGAGCAAAGGUACCUUUCUUGGCUGAUCCCUUUCGCGUUAUGGCGAGCUCGUUUGGGUUGGGCAUCGGCUAGAAGUGCUUGGAGCGCGGAUUAACUCCAGUCUCCUAUCAGACAACUUUGGAGGAGCAGCGAGGCUUGGAGUAUCGACUUGGAUAAGCUUGAAUCGUAUUAUUGGACCCUGUGAAGGUGAGCCCUAGAAUUGGUGGACUUGGAGCUGGGCGGGAUUCAGAGUGGCCAUGAAGAUUGAUUGACGAUUUUAAAUAAGUUUAGCCUUUAAUUUGGAUUAUUUUAUUUUUAUUAUGCUUAAAGUUGUAAUAAGGCCGCUAUUUUUAAUUAAUUUUAUUUUGGGGAUUAUUAAA